AGCAGCCGCGGUAAUCCCAGCUCCAAUAGCGUAUAUUAAAGUUGUUGCAGUUAAAAAGCUCGUAGUUGAAUUUCGGGGUCGGUAGGUUGGUCAUGCCUCUGGUAUGCACUGGUCUCACUGAUUCCUCCUUCCUGAUGAGCCGUAAUGCCAUUAAUUUGGUGUUGCGAGGAAUCUGGACUGUUACUUUGAAAAAUUAGAGUGUUUAAAGUAAGCUAACGCUUGAAUACAUUAGCAUGGAAUAAUGGAAUAGGACGUUCGAUCCUAUUUUGUUGGUUUCUAGGAUUGACGUAAUGAUUAAUAGGGAUAGUUGGGGGCAUUAGUAUUCAAUUGUCAGAGGUGAAAUUCUUGGAUUUAUUGAAGACUAACUACUGCGAAAGCAUUUGCCAAGGAUGUUUUCAUUAACCAAGAACGAAAGUUAGGGGAUCGAAGACGAUCAGAUACCGUCGUAGUCUUAACCAUAAACUAUGCCGACUAGGGAUCGGAUGAUGUUAAUUUUUAAUGACUCAUUCGGCGUCCG
rnacentral:rRNA from 1 species